rnacentral:rRNA from 1 species
AUUGAACGCUGGCGGCAUGCCUUACACAUGCAAGUCGAACGGUAACAGGUCUUCGGAUGCUGACGAGUGGCGAACGGGUGAGUAAUACAUCGGAACGUGCCCGAUCGUGGGGGAUAACGAAGCGAAAGCUUUGCUAAUACCGCAUAAGAUCUACGGAUGAAAGCAGGGGACCGCAAGGCCCUGCGCGAACGGAGCGGCCGAUGGCAGUUUAGGUAGUUGGUGGGAUAAAAGCUUACCAAGCCGACGAGCUGUAGCUGGUCUGAGAGGACGACCAGCCACACUGGGACUGAGACACGGCCCAGACUCCUACGGGAGGCAGCAGUGGGGAAUUUUGGACAAUGGGCGAAAGCCUGAUCCAGCCAUGCCGCGUGCAGGAUGAAGGCCUUCGGGUUGUAACCUGCUUUUGUACGGAACGAAAAGACUCUUUCUAAUAAAGAGGGUCCAUGACGGUACCGUAAGAAUAAACACCGGCUAACUACGUGCCAGCCGCCGCAGUAA